rnacentral:tRNA from 1 species
GUUGGCUCAGUGGUAGAGUGCUUGCCUCGCAUGCAUGAAGCCCUGGGUUCCAUUCCUCAGCAACA